UAACAGUUAGAAAUGACUGCUAAUACCGCAUAAGCGCACAGGACCGCAUGGUCCGGUGUGAAAAACUCCGGUGGUAUGAGAUGGACCCGCGUCUGAUUAGUUAGUUGGCGGGGUAGCGGCCCACCAAGACGACGAUCAGUAGCCGACCUGAGAGGGUGACCGGCCACAUUGGGACUGAGACACGGCCCAAACUCCUACGGGAGGCAGCAGUGGGGAAUAUUGCACAAUGGGGGAAACCCUGAUGCAGCGACGCCGCGUGAGUGAAGAAGUAUUUCGGUAUGUAAAGCUCUAUCAGCAGGGANGNUGUUGACGGUACCUGAGUAAGAAGCCCCGGCUAACUACGUGCCAGCAGCCGCGGUAAUACGUAGGGGGCAAGCGUUAUCCGGAUUUACUGGGUGUAAAGGGAGCGUAGACGGCAGUGCAAGUCUGAAGUGAAAGCCCCGGGCUUAACCCGGGAACUGCUUUGGAAACUGUACGGCUGGAGUGCUGGAGAGGUAAGCGGAAUUCCUAGUGUAGCGGUGAAAUGCGUAGAUAUUAGGAGGAACACCAGUGGCGAAGGCGGCUUACUGGACAGUAACUGACGUUGAGGCUCGAAAGCGUGGGGAGCAAACAGGAUUAGAUACCCUGGUAGU
rnacentral:rRNA from 1 species